rnacentral:misc_RNA from 1 species
GGCUUAUUACAACUUACCAAGAGGUAAAUGAUCAAUUCUGAUCAAAUUCAUGUUGCGAUGACGAAAACGUGCGGAUCGGUGGCAACACUGAUCUGCCAGAGCAACA